UACGGAGGGUGCAAGCGUUAUCCGGAUUCACUGGGUUUAAAGGGUGCGUAGGCGGGCAGGUAAGUCAGUGGUGAAAUCUCCGGGCUUAACCCGGAAACUGCCGUUGAUACUAUCUGUCUUGAAUAUCGUGGAGGUAAGCGGAAUAUGUCAUGUAGCGGUGAAAUGCUUAGAUAUGACAUAGAACACCCAUUGCGAAGGCAGCUGGCUACGCGAAUAUUGACACUGAUGCACGAAAGCGUGGGGAUCAAACAGG
rnacentral:rRNA from 1 species